rnacentral:lncRNA from 1 species
AUCCCCGCCGCGACGGGCAGCUCAAAGUCGGCUUAGUUGUGCUCCGCGCCGCCGCCCGCUGCUCCGGCACCAUGUCCCUCUGCAGGGCCGCCUCGCAGGCGCUGGCCUCCCGCCUGAGCAGGGCUCCUGCCGCCGCCGGCCGCCUCAAGCAGCGUGCACCUCCUCGCCAGAUGUCAUCUGGGAGUGUUCCUGGCUCUUCUAGAGACAGCAUGAUGAUCUAUCUCCUUGCUGGUGUUGCUGCUUUUGGUGGUUUAUUUUAUGCCUACAGAGUAGUCAGUUCAUCCCGCAGCAAGUUUGUUGAACAUUCAAGUAUUCUUCGUGAGAGAACCGAGGGGCAGAACAGCAAUCCUUGGUCAAGGAAGGACACAAGGGAAAUCUCUUUCCAAACCUGAGGAAGUUAAAUACAAACAAAGGACAAUCGUUUACCAUUAAGUACAUUGCAGCCUACCUUGGGAUGACUUUGUGCCUUCUAUUGUAAAGCCCCAAUUGUUUUCUGAGGAGGAGAAGACAACUGAAGAAGUUGCUAAAGAGCCCUAAAGUAAGCAGAGUGGACACCUUUGGAAAGUUUAAUGCAAAUAUUUGUGGCAAUCAACCAGCUGAUUCCGGUGUGAAACCUCAUACUCUUCCUUGAAGACAUAAAAGAAACUCUGCAGUUUGUCCCACCCACACAUUGGCCAUUAUGGCCAGUAUUCAGUGCUGCAAGAGAUGAUUUGCAUUGCCUAGAGAAAUGCUUCUGUGACUAACAACUCUGCUGUAGAGAGUAGCUUCCAGUCAAGCCACUCAGCAUGUCCUAAAUACAUGUGCUAAGAGAAGCAGUAGACUUAACUAAACCAUGCCAUAUGAACUCCUUCUAUGUCAUUGUUGUCCUGAUAUGUACAUUGAUUCCUUACUUUUGGUCCAAACUAUUGUGUGUAGUUAUACCUUUGUAACAUUCCAUGCUAAAAUGUAAACAAAAGGUUUUAAAAUCAAGUCAAAAUAUUACAAAACUACAUGUUAGCAUUUUAAAAUUGGAUCACAGGGAAAAUAACAACGUGUUUGCUCCUGAGUUUGGAUUUGUGAUUGUAAGCAUAAGACAUCUGGCUGUGCAUGACCUAAUUUUCCCCCUGCAUAAAUAUUUCAGAUGAUACCACUCCUUGCACAGUAACAUCUAGGAGUAAACAUUUUAAGGCUCCUGCUUCGGGAAGAAAACCUGUUUGCAGGUAGUAGCCAUAGGUACUUUAUAAGUGGUGGCUGGCUCCUGCCUUGGGUGUGCUGGGCUCUGCUCCUCCCAAAUCUCGUUCAGCUUGCUGUGGUCUUUCUGUGUUGCUCUGUCUUGGCAGUGGCAUAUACUGGUAGUGUAACAACACAAAAGUUUGGUAGAAGCUUUCAAACUGGUACAAAUUACAAGCCCUUUAGGCCAUGGCAAAGCCUGUCUCUAACCACUUGCACACAGAGAGCAAAAUCCCUGUGAAGGGCUAUUCAACAGGUGUUCAAAUGGACAGGCAUUCUUAGGGACUAAGAAAGAACCAAACAGCUAAAUGGCCUUGUUUUCUCAGUAUUAGCUUCACAAAAAUUACAUUUAUUAUGAAUAACAGGUUUGAAUGCCACUGUGCUCCCAACCUUCAUGUGCUACAUGCAUGAGCAUGCAUCUGAGACCCCAUUUCAGCCAUCACAGAAUGGCAAUGAUUCUAAACCAGAGCCAAAUAAGGUAUAUUAUGUACUAUUUAUAUAGAAAGUGUGUUGCAUAAGGUGUGUCUGACUCUUUUCUCUUCAAGAAGAAGUUUGGAAAAUGUUGAAAGGGAAACGACAGCAUUAAUGACAUUCCUACCCACAGCACAAAGCAACACAUGCUCCUUCCCCCAUCAUAAAGCAAAUUAUAAUAGUGUUCCAACAAAGAUAUAGCCUGUUGCUCCUGGAUCUACUUAGGAAUAACUGGAAUAAUGCAAAGGCAAAAGCAGGCUCCUGAGCUUCAAGAAGACAAACCACAGCCUUCUGCUUAAAGGAUAAAGCCUCUGUGAUUAAAAGCAGUUUUUGUAGACCAAGCUACUGGAAUAAAAAUCUUAGACUAAUAUUUUGUUGGAUAAGAGUCUAUAUUUAUCUUGUAGAUUAAAAAUGCUGUGAUGGAUGUAUGCACUUAAAUUUUCUAUUUCUUCAUUUUCACAAAUUACUAGUAAAAGAAGCUAUUUUAACUGCAUCUAACAGUAGUUUCUCAAAUGGUAGGCUUUUCUGAAUGGCUCUUUAUCUCUGGAACUGCUCUGGUACAUGGCAAAAUAUGUUAGCCCCCUGGAACAGCUGCCUUAAUGACUGAAUCACAAACUAUGGUUUCCAAAAUGUAGGGUUUUUUCAUCCUUUCACUUUCAAAAAAUUGUGAGAAUCCCAAAACAGCCUGUAGAUGUGCUUUAUGCCAGAGUUCUUCUUUUUUUGCUUUUGUAUUGUUUAGGUUUUCUUAAUUAAAAAAAAAAAAAAAAAAAAAAAAAAAGGCAUGCAGCACAGCACAGUCUGCUUCAGCACUUAAAUAUCUUAGAGUAACAACAGUGAUAUUUUGCAAUUCGCAGAGGUCUGGCCAUUGUUGACUCAGUCUUGUUAGUAUGGAGUCUGAAUACCAUAUAAAUUAAAAUUUUCCUGUCCUUCACUUUCAAAAAGAGAAUUUUUGAGUUGCUACACAAAAGCUGUGAUGAACCAUGGAAAAUGUUGAAAGAUAAUUUUGAGAUGGAUCAUUAAGGAGAGCAAUGCCACAGCAGAGAAUAGACAUAAUGCAAGACUAAAGGAGAUCAGAGGAAAGGUUUGGUCUUGAAAAUACACCUCACAGGCCAGAGCAAAGCUUAAGAUUCCAGAAUUUAUCCAAACUGCACAUUGCUCCUUUGCUGUCAGCAGUUAUCUGUGAAAACAGCUGGCAAGGAUUUUCACCUCCCUCCAGUGCCAUUUAGUCCCUCUAGUUCACCUCUCUGAAGGGUGACAGCCUGUUGCUGCUGGCAGCUGUUCACAAAGCUGAAAAUUCUGCAGAUGAUGAAGUCCAUCUAACAAUUUCAGGUUUACUUUUUUGCCUGUGUUGAUGUAGGUACAGAAUUUCAAUUUUAUUUUCAUUUCCUUCUUCAAAACAUAAGACAAUUGCAACUAAAAAUCAUAAUUCAAACUGCAAGCUGGUACUCAGCACUUGGAAAAUCAGAGUGAAAUACUUCAAUCAAGAUUUCUUAUGUCUGUGCAACAGGCUUUGAUGUUGUGAUACUACUUUUUAAAAUCUGUUUUUCUGGGAAAGAAAAAAACCACAAAAAACUCAAAACAAAGACAAAGAAUUCCAACCCAGAGAAGAAUGUGCCGUGAUUCUUUUACCCACCUGGUGAGCUGUUUCUGUCAAAAAAUUUGAGCCAAUUAGCCACCCCAACUUCUGCUUUACCAGGCAUAUGGGAGAAACACACAGUUCCAGCUGAGUGAUGGAUGAAGAAAUUAGUAGCUAAACUAAGUUACUUGUAAUGCUUGGCAGCGUAUAAGCAAAUAUAUGAUGCAGCUCUACAGUACUUUUGUGGCUGCAAUCACUGAGUGUAGGUGCUGUUUUCUCCCUGUGGGUGGUUAGCAAAGAGUGAGAGGAGAGCUGAGAGGACAGAGGCAUAUAGAGGAUGAGGGGACAAACAAGGACAGAAGGAAUUUUAUGUUAAAGGACAUUGGAGCUCGCUUUGUGUGUUGCCCAUGGGUUGGCACAUUUCAGUGGAGUGCCAUCCCUGCUGUGACACAGAUAAUUCUGUUCUUCAGAAAGGCAUUACUUGGUUGUGUGCUUUUCUUGUCCUGCUCACCUGCUGCAGAAAAUGGAGGCUGUGAAGGCAUCACCAUGGGUAAUUGGAUCCUCCUGCAUUCUGGGUGUUACUCCUUUAUUUGGGAUGUUGCAGGAGAUUUUGCCUCUUCCAGCUUUACUGGAGGGGGAAAAGGACUAAAACUGUAGGUUUCUAUGCUGGAGUUAUUCCUGCUACUUGCUUGAACUACAGGUAAUUAAACAGUUUGUUGAAACAGCAUGGUUUGCUUGUGGUUUACUGAGACAAACCAAUUUAAUUUUUAUUUAUGCCUCAACAUAUGUUAUAUAUCCAUUUUCUGACAUGGGGUUGAUGCUUCAGGUUUUAGCUUUUAUAUUUUUCAGAUUCUGUGCUGCUUUAGUGUGUGGGUGUGGGCUUCAUAUAAUUCUCUCUUCACAGAAUAGGUAGACAAAACAAUUCCUUCUCUAGCUGAGACCAAGGACAGCAGAUCCAGAUCUCAGACCUAAGAGCAUAAAGAAUAUGGAUUGAAAAGAGAAAAACAAGGAGGAUGGAACUUCAUGGUCUGGAGCUGUAACUGGACAAUUAGCUACAAUAUGCUAAUAGACCAGAACUUAUAAAAGUGAGAGACUCCAUGACUGGUCAUCCAUUUUAUGACCAUUUUGGGUUCACCUGGGGUGUAGCCCUGGCUGGGCUCUUAUGCUGCCCAAGGUGUAUCUAUUGAGGCCUUUUAAUAAAUACCUACUUUAU